rnacentral:rRNA from 1 species
UACGUAGGGGGCAAGCGUUGUCCGGAUUUACUGGGCGUAAAGAGCGUGUAGGCGGCCAAGCAGGUCCGUUGUGAAAACUGGAGGCUUAACCUCCAGACGUCGACGGAAACCGCGCCGGCUAGAGUCCGGAAGAGGAGAGUGGAAUUCCUGGUGUAGCGGUGGAAAUGCGCAGAUAUCAGGAAGAACACCAAUGGCGAAGGCAGCUCUCGUGGGACGGUACUGACGCUGAGACGCGAAAGCGUGGGGAGCGAACAGG